UACGAAGGGGGCUAGCGUUGCUCGGAAUCACUGGGCGUAAAGCGUGCGCAGGCGGCUUUGCAAGACAGAUGUGAAAUCCCCGGGCUUAACCUGGGAACUGCAUUUGUGGCUGCAUGGCUGGAGUGCGGCAGAGGGGGAUGGAAUUCCGCGUGUAGCAGUGAAAUGCGUAGAGAUGCGGAGGAACACCGAUGGCGAAGGUAGCCCCCUGGGUCGACACUGACGCUCAGGCACGAAAGCGUGGGGAGCAAACAGG
rnacentral:rRNA from 1 species